UCCAGACUCCUACGGGAGGCAGCAGUGGGGAAUCUUCCGCAAUGGGCGCAAGCCUGACGGAGCAAUGCCGCGUGAACGAAGAAGGUCUUCGGAUUGUAAAGUUCUGUCCUUAUCGAAGAGAGGGUAUAGAGUGAAAAAUGAUAUACUAGGACGGUAGAUGAGGAGGAAGCCCCGGCUAACUACGUGCCAGCAGCCGCGGUAAUACGUAGGGGGCGAGCGUUGUCCGGAAUCACUGGGCGUAAAGGGGGCGCAGACGGCGAUGCAAGCCAGGAGUGAAAGCCCGGGGCCCAACCCCAGGACUGCUCUUGGAACUGCGUGGCUGGAGUGCAGGAGGGGCAGGCGGAAUUCCUGGUGUAGCGGUGAAAUGCGUAGAUAUCAGGAGGAACACCAGUGGCGAAGGCGGCUUACUGGACUGUAACUGACGUUGAGGCUCGAAAGCGUGGGGAGCAAACAGGAUUAGAUACCCCCGUAAGU
rnacentral:rRNA from 1 species